AGCGAACGCUGGCGGCAGGCCUAACACAUGCAAGUCGAGCGCCCAGCAAUGGGAGCGGCAGACGGGAUAGUAACACGUGGGAACGUACCCUUCAGUUCGGAACAACCCAGGGAAACUUGGGCUAAUACCGAAUACGUCCGUAAGGAGAAAGAUUUAUCGCUGAAGGAUCGGCCCGCGUCUGAUUAGCUAGUUGGUGAGGUAACGGCUCACCAAGGCGACGAUCAGUAGCUGGCUGAGAGGAUGAUCAGCAUCACUGGGACUGAGACACGGCCCAGACUCCUACGGGAGGCAGCAGUGGGGAAUAUUGGACAAUGGGCGCAAGCCUGAUCCAGCCAUGCCGCGUGGAUGAUGAAGGCCCUAGGGUUGUAAAGUCCUUUCGACGGGGAAGAUAAUGACGGUACCCGUAGAAGAAGCCCCGGCUAACUUCGUGCCAGCCGCCGACGGU
rnacentral:rRNA from 1 species